CGCAAAGACAAGAUGGCUUAGCGCUUGAUAUUACUUCCAGGAAAGCAGCCUUGGUCUUUCCACAUCAUGUCGAGCGUGAUCACCUACAAAACUGUUAGGGAAUUAAUGGCAUAGACAAGAUGGCGUAGGUGCUUUAUAUUACUUCCAGAAAAGCAACGUUGGUCUUUCCAGUUGAUUCCGUCAGUGUAAUCGCCCGUAAACACCUGUGCAUCAUAUCGACACAAUCUUGCCGUUCCCGGUCAUGAAGCUGGACAAACCUAAGUCGCUUGCUCCUGCGUAUUACUCGACGGUAUACCAGUUUGAGACUGCUUAUCUGCAUUGUUCAUGAAGAUGUGCUCUCGUCAAGAUGCUGCAUUAAUUAAUCGAAUGCGACUCGAUGUGGCUUUUACAGCUUAGUGGCGUCACCGCUUGAGACAAUUUGGUUCUCCCAGAUUCUAUCACUGUGGUGUUCUAGAGGAUCUGGAGCACGUUCUUCUUCAUUGCCCACACUACCAACCUUCCUGAAUCGCACUCUCCGAGUCUCUUACACAGCUGCACUCUCGCCCCUUCUCCCGAUCGAAAUUGCUUGGUUCCUGGCCCAAUCCAGCCCAUUUGAACUCCGGCCCAUGUAGGACUGUACAGACUAGGUCGAGAACUGGAUCCAUGGUGUUCAAGAGCACCACAGUGGCAGCAGGUGGGAGAGUCAACUUGUAACGCUACUGAGCUGUAAAGGCCACAUCGAGGCGCAUUCGGAGGAUUAAUGCAGUAUCUUGACGAGAGAUGUUUCGUGGCAUGCGGAAAGCGAGCGUUGGAUCAACUCUGCUCAACAUAGAUGGGUGGAGAAUGUCGGUUGUCCAUUGGCAAGAGGUCAGGUGUGUCACGAGGCGUCGCAGAAUGGAACGGCGGUCUCUUCUCAGCAGAGCAAUACUGGACCGUGUCCGAUACGAGAGUGCUGCUUCUCCGGCGCUGUCGGCCUGCCCGUUCCCCACGACACCACAAUGGGCUGGAACCCACUGGAGAACUAGCCUAUGGCCCGCUGCGUAGACAGUGUGGCGUCCCAGCAAACUCGAAAUCCAGCAAGUUCUCGCCGCAGGAGGCCCCUACCUCCACGUUCCUCCACCGCGCCAGGAUAGAGGCCGCCCGGGCUUCGAGGGUUUGAGAUGCCGAUGUGGUAGCAGCCCUUGCGAUCAUCCAAAGACAGACCGGAAACGUUACGGGACACCAAGCAGCAACCUGCAGAGCCGCCAAGAGGAAAUGACGUCGUAAUCGACAUCCCCGACGACGAGAUGGACGACCUUCUCUGAAAAUAUGAACUGAAUUGCGUGUGUGAUCGCGCCUUGGGAUCUCUUUUGUUUUUCAGUGCCGUGACGGCACGUCGAGUUUUUUGGUCGGGGGAGUGUCGGGUUUGGAGAUAGUGACUUAUCUCGCGGCCGGUGCAGCCGGUUAUCGCCCGCUGAUAUCGUACACGUGCAGUAGUAGGGGGCGCUGACGACUGUCAUCGAUACCCUUAAAAAGGCGGGCGUGUUUGCAUUGUGACACUUCCCGGGGGAUCCUCGAGCUGGUCACGGA